rfam:Cerapachys biroi unplaced genomic scaffold scaffold74, whole genome shotgun sequence.
GCGAUAUACUGAAAAUCGGUGGUUAUCCCGCAGCGUAUGAUCCUGCGAGACAUGGACCGUAUGACCCUGCGCGCUACUACGGAAAACGUGAGUCUGCUGUCGCG